rnacentral:misc_RNA from 1 species
CGCUCUUGGUAGACUCUUGACACGUGUCUUGCGCCAUAUGGCUUCUGAGUUAAACUUGAAUAUGAGGAGCGAUGGAUAUGUCAAGGUUGAGGAUUUGCUAAAGUUGAAUUUGAAAACAUUUGCUAAUAUUCCACUGAGAUUGCACACAAUUGAUGACAUAAGGGAGGCUGUUGGGAAGGAUAACAAGCAGCGUUUCAGUCUCCUGGAAGAGAAUGGACAGCUCUUGAUUCGAGCAAACCAAGGCCAUACAGUCACGG